rnacentral:rRNA from 1 species
CCUACGGGCGGCAGCAGUGGGGAAUAUUGGACAAUGGGGGCAACCCUGAUCCAGCCAUGCCGCGUGUGUGAAGAAGGCCCUCGGGUUGUAAAGCACUUUCAGUGAGGAAGAACGCCUGGUGGUUAAUACCCAUCAGGAAAGACAUCACUCACAGAAGAAGCACCGGCUAACUCCGUGCCAGCAGCCGCGGUAAUACGGAGGGUGCGAGCGUUAAUCGGAAUUACUGGGCGUAAAGCGCGCGUAGGUGGCUUGAUAAGCCGGUUGUGAAAGCCCCGGGCUCAACCUGGGAACGGCAUCCGGAACUGUCAAGCUAGAGUGCAGGAGAGGAAGGUAGAAUUCCCGGUGUAGCGGUGAAAUGCGUAGAGAUCGGGAGGAAUACCAGUGGCGAAGGCGGCCUUCUGGACUGACACUGACACUGAGGUGCGAAAGCGUGGGUAGCAUACAGGAUUAGAUACCCCUGUAGUC